AAUGAAGCCGGGAAACCGGUCCUUCUAACCCUUGAUUAUCUCAAUUUGUUGCUUCGGUGGGCCGUGCAAGCACCGGCUUCGGCUGGAUCGUGCCCGCCAGAGGACCACAACUCUGUAUUAAAUGUCGUCUGAGUACUAUAAAAUAGUUAAAACUUUCAACAACGGAUCUCUCGGUUCU
rnacentral:misc_RNA from 1 species